AACCCUCAACCCCCCUAUUUUGUAAUGAAAUAGGUACUUGGGCUUGGAUUCUGGCUGUUUGCAGGCCCUGUUAUAAGGGUCAGCUCAGCUGAAAUAUACGAGCAGCUUGUAUUUCGAUAACAUAGAAGGCUUCACUCGGCGUAAUAAAACUUAUCUCGUCGAAUUGAAUGCAGUCUUAUCGUUAGACGGCGCUUAUAAUUCGUUUAACACACACUUAAGC
rnacentral:misc_RNA from 1 species